GUGAACGCUGGCGGUAGGCCUAACACAUGCCAGUCGAACGGCAGCACAGUAAGAGCUUGCUCUUACGGGUGGCGAGUGGCGGACGGGUGAGGAAUACAUCGGAAUCUACUUUUUCGUGGGGGAUAACGUAGGGAAACUUACGCUAAUACCGCAUACGACCUACGGGUGAAAGCAGGGGAUCUUCGGACCUUGCGCGAUUGAAUGAGCCGAUGUCGGAUUAGCUAGUUGGCGGGGUAAAGGCCCACCAAGGCGACGAUCCGUAGCUGGUCUGAGAGGAUGAUCAGCCACACUGGAACUGAGACACGGUCCAGACUCCUACGGGAGGCAGCAGUGGGGAAUAUUGGACAAUGGGCGCAAGCCUGAUCCAGCCAUACCGCGUGGGUGAAGAAGGCCUUCGGGUUGUAAAGCCCUUUUGUUGGGAAAGAAAAGCAGCAGGUUAAUACCCCGCUGUUCUGACGGUACCCAAAGAAUAAGCACCGGCUAACCUCGUG
rnacentral:rRNA from 1 species